rnacentral:rRNA from 1 species
UGGGGAAUUUUGGACAAUGGGGGCAACCCUGAUCCAGCCAUCCCGCGUGUGCGAUGAAGGCCUUCGGGUUGUAAAGCACUUUUGGCAGGGAAGAAACAGCCUGGGCUAAUAUCCCGGGCGACUGACGGUGCCUGCAGAAUAAGCACCGGCUAACUACGUGCCAGCAGCCGCGGUAAUACGUAGGGUGCAAGCGUUAAUCGGAAUUACUGGGCGUAAAGCGUGCGCAGGCGGUUCGGAAAGAAAGGUGUGAAAUCCCAGGGCUUAACCUUGGAACUGCACUUUUAACUACCGGGCUAGAGUACGUCAGAGGGGGGUAGAAUUCCACGUGUAGCAGUGAAAUGCGUAGAGAUGUGGAGGAAUACCGAUGGCGAAGGCAGCCCCCUGGGAUGAUACUGACGCUCAUGCACGAAAGCGUGGGGAGCAAACA